rnacentral:rRNA from 1 species
UACGUAGGGUGCAAGCGUUGUCCGGAAUUAUUGGGCGUAAAGAGCUCGUAGGUGGCCUGUCGCGUCGGCUGUGAAAACUCGGGGCUCAACUCCGAGCUUGCAGUCGAUACGGGCAGGCUAGAGUUCGGCAGGGGGAGACUGGAAUUCCUGGUGUAGCGGUGAAAUGCGCAGAUAUCAGGAGGAACACCGGUGGCGAAGGCGGGUCUCUGGGCCGAUAUUGACGCUGAGGAGCGAAAGCGUGGGGAGCGAACGGG